AUUCAUCCAUGUUGACCGCACACUGUACCACUGAACACGGAACUUGAGAUGGAGGCCGAACAGCAGCCAACUUUGCAGUUCUCUGUUUGCGUGUGGUUGCCAGGUGGAGAGGAUGUGGACAACGCGCAGAGAUAUUUCUUCGACUAGACCAGGUCAAGAAUCCAUUAUUCCGUCAUUGUUGGCUUUGUGAGCAUGAAAUAGCGACACCUGGUGAAUUAAAGCAGUAUUGCUGCAUUGGCUGGGAUAUUUCCUGGGCCACUCGAGCUACUACUCUUCUGAACUACAUCGUCAUCCCGCUGUGGAAGAUCGUCUCCCAUGAACUGCCAGCUCCUUUGAGAUUCUUAUGAAAGCACUAUAUAAAAUACAUCUAUAGUAUUAUUAUGUGUUCACAGUAAAUCUCUGAAACCUG